rnacentral:rRNA from 1 species
GUGCCAGCCGCCGCGUUAAUACGGAGGGUGCAAGCGUUGUCCGGAAUCACUGGGCGUAAAGGGUGCGCAGGCGGGGCAACAAGUCGGAGGUGAAAGCCCGUGGCUCAACCACGGAAGUGCCUUCGAAACUGUUGCUCUUGAGUCCCGGAGAGGUUGCCGGAAUGCGUGGUGUAGCGGUGAAAUGCGUAGAUAUCACGAGGAACACCAGAGGCGAAAGCGGGCAACUGGACGGGUACUGACGCUCAGGCACGAAAGCGAGGGGAGCAAACAGGAUUAGAAACCCGAGUAGUCC